rnacentral:rRNA from 1 species
ACUCCUACGGGAGGCAGCAGUGGGGAAUUUUGGACAAUGGGGGCAACCUGAUCCAGCCAUGCCGCGUGCGGGAAGAAGGCCUUCGGGUUGUAAACCGCUUUUAUUCGGAAAGAAGGAGUGGGGGUUAAUAGCUCUCAUGACAGACGGUACCGGAUGAAUAAGCACCGGCUAACUACGUGCCAGCAGCCGCGGUAAU